rnacentral:lncRNA from 1 species
CGCAUCAUUACAGGCAGCCCACGAACACAGCUCGAGAUGGUUCCAGGAUGUGUGUGAAGAAAAAAAAAUCUCGGGUUUUCAAAGACUCUAAACUCUGGAGAAAUGAAGCUCUCAGUGGUUUCCUGCCACAGACAGACAGCAGAGGCCGAGAGGAACGUUUGAGUUGUGCGUCAGCAGCUGCAGACGAGCGUCCGAGUGUUUAACGGCAUCUGUGCUGGUGUCGACUUCACAGGAGGAUGAAGAUGCUGCUGCUGUUCCUGCUUCUCCUCAUCGACGUUUCCCAGCAUGCCUGUGGUGUGGAGGUGUAUGUUGGGGAUCCGUUCGUCCUGCUGCCCUGUAAUAGCCAAACAUCUGAACUGGACAACUCCACAGUGGUGUGGAGUCGCUCCGACCUCAGUCCUCC